AAUAAUUUUGUUUGAACCGAAGACAGUGGGUGCUUUAAGCUUAAUAUCCUACCGAGGAAAGUAAGUAUACUAAACUCUUUGCUGUCUAUUCGGUGAAGAGUUUUAAAAU
rnacentral:sRNA from 1 species